rnacentral:rRNA from 1 species
GAGUUUGAUCCUGGCUCAGGACGAACGCUGGCGGCGUGCUUAACACAUGCAAGUCGAACGGAGCACCUUCGAAAGAGACUUCGGUCAAUGGAAAAGAAUGCUUAGUGGCGGACGGGUGAGUAACGCGUGAGGAACCUGCCUUUCAGUGGGGGACAACAGUUGGGAACGACUGCUAAUACCGCAUAACGUACGGGUAUCGCAUGGUAUCUGUACCAAAGAUUUAUCGCUGAGAGAUGGCCUCGCGUCUGAUUAGCUAGUUGGUAGGGUAACGGCCUACCAAGGCGACGAUCAGUAGCCGGACUGAGAGGUUGGCCGGCCACAUUGGGACUGAGAUACGGCCCAGACUCCUACGGGAGGCAGCAGUGGGGAAUAUUGCACAAUGGGCGAAAGCCUGAUGCAGCAACGCCGCGUGAAGGAAGAAGGGUUUCGGCUCGUAAACUUCUAUCAACAGGGACGAAAGAAAUGACGGUACCUGAAUAAGAAGCCCCGGCUAACUACGUGCCAGCAGCCGCGGUAAUACGUAGGGGGCAAGCGUUAUCCGGAAUUACUGGGUGUAAAGGGUGAGUAGGCGGCAUGGUAAGCCAGAUGUGAAAGCCUUGGGCUUAACCCGAGGAUUGCAUUUGGAACUAUCAAGCUAGAGUACAGGAGAGGAAAGCGGAAUUCCUAGUGUAGCGGUGAAAUGCGUAGAUAUUAGGAAGAACACCAGUGGCGAAGGCGGCUUUCUGGACUGAAACUGACGCUGAGGCACGAAAGCGUGGGGAGCGAACAGGAUUAGAUACCCUGGUAGUCCACGCCGUAAACGAUGAAUGCUAGGUGUCGGGGAGGAAUCCCCGGUGCCGCAGCUAACGCAAUAAGCACUCCACCUGGGGAGUACGACCGCAAGGUUGAAACUCAAAGGAAUUGACGGGGGCCCGCACAAGCGGUGGAGCAUGUGGUUUAAUUCGAAGCAACGCGAAGAACCUUACCAAGGCUUGACAUCCCGAUGACAGGCGUAGAGAUACGCUAUCCCUUCGGGGCAUUGGUGACAGGUGGUGCAUGGUUGUCGUCAGCUCGUGUCGUGAGAUGUUGGGUUAAGUCCCGCAACGAGCGCAACCCUUACCCUUAGUAGCCAUCAUUAAGUUGGGCACUCUAGGGGGACUGCCGUGGAUAACACGGAGGAAGGUGGGGAUGACGUCAAAUCAUCAUGCCCCUUAUGUCUUGGGCUACACACGUGCUACAAUGGCUGGCAACAAAGUGAAGCGAGACGGCGACGUUAAGCAAAUCACAAAAACCCAGUCCCAGUUCGGAUUGCAGUCUGCAACUCGACUGCAUGAAGCUGGAAUCGCUAGUAAUCGCGAAUCAGAAUGUCGCGGUGAAUACGUUCCCGGGCCUUGCACACACCCGCCCGUCA